UCUGUAUAAAUCAAAUAAUGCAUCAGACCCAAUUGGAAUCCGAUCCAUUCUAAAAUAAAACAACAAAAAAUAAAAAGAAAACUUAAAAGACUAAAUCAACAGGAUAGGAAAAGUGAGGUUCAGCUAGCUCUCGAAGCUUCCAUGGAUGUUGGGUUGCUGUUCCAACCUCGACUGCAAAUUCCAGGUUCUAUCUAAAUACAUCCCAUAAUCUCUCACCGGGUGUUAUGUUAAUUGAUCCCAUUUGAAGAUUUUUUUAAGAUAUGGAUUUGUAAAGUCAAUUUAAUCUUCCAAGUUUUAUCCUUAGGGGUGAAAGGCAUUGAAGGAAGUGCAGGGAACUCAGAAGAAAGAGAUAGGAGCUGGCCAGUUGAUGAAUUCGAUUGACCAGUGGCCGGGUUAACCAUAGUCAGACUAUGGAUUGGUGGUGAGGGUUCGCAUGAAAGAGAAGAGAAAAUUUAUUUUACCUUGUAUAAGUGAAAAACUUAAACAUUUAUGUAAUGAAAUAGUAAAAUAAUAAUUUCUCCUUUUUUAUUUA